UGCAAGUCGAACGAUGACUCUCUAGCUUGCUAGAGAAGAUUAGUGGCGGACGGGUGAGUAACAUUUAGGAAUCUGCCUAGUAGUGGGGGAUAGCUCGGGGAAACUCGAAUUAAUACCGCAUACGACCUACGGGUGAAAGGGGGCGCAAGCUCUUGCUAUUAGAUGAGCCUAAAUCAGAUUAGCUAGUUGGUGGGGUAAAGGCCCACCAAGGCGACGAUCUGUAACUGGUCUGAGAGGAUGAUCAGUCACACCGGAACUGAGACACGGUCCGGACUCCUACGGGAGGCAGCAGUGGGGAAUAUUGGACAAUGGGGGCAACCCCGAUCCAGCCAUGCCGCGUGUGUGAAGAAGGCCUUUUGGUUGUAAAGCACUUUAAGCAGGGAGGAGAGGCUAAUGGUUAAUACCCAUUAGAUUAGACGUUACCUGCAGAAUAAGCACCGGCUAACUCUGUGCCAGCAGCCGCGGUAAUACAGAGGGUGCGAGCGUUAAUCGGAAUUACUGGGCGUAAAGCGAGUGUAGGUGGCUCAUUAAGUCACAUGUGAAAUCCCCGGGCUUAACCUGGGAACUGCAUGUGAUACUGGUGGUGCUAGAAUAUGUGAGAGGGAAGUAGAAUUCCAGGUGUAGCGGUGAAAUGCGUAGAGAUCUGGAGGAAUACCGAUGGCGAAGGCAGCUUCCUGGCAUAAUAUUGACACUGAGAUUCGAAAGCGUGGGUAGCAAACAGGAUUAGAUACCCUGGUAGUCCACGCCGUANACGAUGUCUACUAGCCGUUGGGGUCCUUGAGACUUUAGUGGCGCAGUUAACGCGAUAAGUAGACCGCCUGGGGAGUACGGCCGCAAGGUUAAAACUCAAAUGAAUUGACGGGGGCCCGCACAAGCGGUGGAGCAUGUGGUUUAAUUCGAUGCAACGCGA
rnacentral:rRNA from 1 species